rnacentral:tRNA from 1 species
GGCUGGGUGGCCUAAUGGCUUAAGGCAUCACUUUCCGGUUUACAACACUGUGACUGGUGAAGAUUGCGGGUUCGAGUCCCGUCCUGGUCG